rnacentral:rRNA from 1 species
CCUACGGGCGGCAGCAGUGAGGAAUAUUGGUCAAUGGUCGGGAGACUGAACCAGCCAAGCCGCGUGAGGGAGGAAGGUACAGAGUAUCGUAAACCUCUUUUGUCAGGGAACAAAGACUGGGACGCGUACCCGGAUGAGUGUACCUGACGAAAAAGCAUCGGCUAACUCCGUGCCAGCAGCCGCGGUAAUACGGAGGAUGCGAGCGUUAUCCGGAUUUAUUGGGUUUAAAGGGUGCGGAGGCGGUCUGUUAAGUUAGCGGGCAAAGCCCGGGGCUCAACCCCGGACCCGCCUUUGAAACUGGCAGUCUCGAGUUGGAGAGAGGUAUGCGGAAUGCGCGGUGUAGCGGUGAAAUGCAUAGAUAUCGCGCAGAACUCCGAUUGCGAAGGCAGCAUGCCGGCUCCACACUGACGCUGAGGCACGAAAGCGUGGGUAUCGAACAGGAUUAGAUACCCUAGUAGUC